ensembl:lncRNA
CAGCCACUGGAAUUUCUUUCUAGUGAAACUGUGGAAGUGACCUUUGCUUCUCCCCGUGCUGUGGGUCAGUCUCGAGCUUCCCUGGACAUCUACAAACGCUGCAGCUGCUAACGGAGACCACAGAGGUGAUGGAGAGGUGACUCACCCAGAGGCCUGAUGAACAGACGAAGGACUCAUCUCGUGAAUCAACAGCACAAGGAUCUGCAGAUCAAGUUAAUUCUGCUAACAUUGGAGCAGCCUGAGCCACACUGAAAGGGCUUGCAGAAACAUCACUCUGGUUCCUCUAGGAAGAGCUUUUGCUUGGCAAUGCACAAGCAAGAAGAUUCUAGCUUGUUUUGAUGCAUUGUUGAUACAGUACUAAAAAGUAGAAGCAAAAAGCAGUGUGAUGUUGUUUGGAAAAAGGCCUGCUCUGUUGGCGCUGGGGGAGGCAGGAGCUGGGCGAUGUGCUCUGAGUGGUGACAGAUUACUGGAGGUUAAGAAGGUGGAUUUUUACCCGAUGGACUUGGCAGCUCUCCUGCAGGUCUAUGCAC